UACAGAGGUCCCAAGCGUUGUUCGGAUUCACUGGGCGUAAAGGGUGCGUAGGCGGUCGGGUAAGUCUGAUGUGAAAUCUCCAAGCCUAACUUGGAAACUGCAUUGGAUACUAUCCGGCUCGAGGAAUGGAGGGGAGACUGGAAUACUUGGUGUAGCAGUGAAAUGCGUAGAUAUCAAGUGGAACACCAGUGGCGAAGGCGAGUCUCUGGACAUUUCCUGACGCUGAGGCACGAAAGCCAGGGGAGCGAACGGG
rnacentral:rRNA from 1 species